rnacentral:tRNA from 1 species
GCGGGUAUGUACAGGGUAUCAAUCAGACUGCCAGUCUGAUGGUGAGAGUUCGAUUCUCUCUAUCCGCUCCA